rnacentral:tRNA from 1 species
GGGGGUUUAGCUCAGCUGGGAGAGCACCUGCCUUGCACGCAGGGGGUCAAUAGUUCGAUCCUCUUAACCUCCACCA